AUGGGCGCAGCAGCGAGAAAACUUUGCAAUGUGCGAAAGCACGACAAGGUUUAAUCCGAGUGGUUUCUGCUAAAGGAACAUUUGUCAGUCCUAGAAACACUGAUGAAUAAGGGGUGGGCAAGUUCUGGUGUCAGCCGCCGCGGUAAAACCAGCACCUCAAGUGGUCAGGAUGAUUAUUGGGCUAAAGCAUCCGUAGCCUGCUUUGCCAGUUUUCGGUUAAAUCCACACGCUCAACGUAUGGGCUGCCGGGAAUACUACAAAGCUAGGGAGUGGGAGAGGUAGACGGUACUCGGUAGGAAGGGGUAAAAUCCUUUGAUCUAUUGAUGACCACCUGUGGCGAAGGCGGUCUACCAGAACACGUCCGACGGUGAGGGAUGAAAGCUGGGGGAGCAAACCGGAUUAGAUACCCGGGUAGUCCCAGCUGUAAACUAUGCAAACUCAGUGAUGCAUUGGCUUGAUGCCAAUGCAGUGCUGCAGGGAAGCCGUUAAGUUUGCCGCCUGGGAAGUACGUACGCAAGUAUGAAACUUAAAGGAAUUGGCGGGGGAGCACCACAAGGGGUGAAGCCUGCGGUUCAAUUGGAGUCAACGCCAGAAAUCUUACCCGGAGAGACAGCAGAAUGAAGGUCAAGCUGAAGACUUUACCAGACAAGCUGAGAGGUGGUGCAUGGCCGUCGCCAGCUCGUGCCGUGAGAUGUCCUGUUAAGUCAGGUAACGAGCGAGAUCCCUGCCUCUAGUUGCCACCAUUACUCUCAGGAGUAGUGGGGCGAAUUAGCGGGACCGCCGUGGUUAAUACGGAGGAAGGAAGGGGCCACGGCAGGUCAGUAUGCCCCGAAACUCUGGGGCCACACGCGGGCUGCAAUGGUAACGACAAUGUGUUCCGAAUCCGAAAGGAGGAGGUAAUCCUCAAACGUUACCACAGUUAUGACUGAGGGCUGCAACUCGCCCUCACGAAUAUGGAAUCCCUAGUAACUGCGUGUCAUUAUCGCGCGGUGAAUACGUCCCUGCUCCUUGCACACACCGCCCGUCGUUUCAUUGAAGUUUGCUUUUAGCGAGGUGACGUCUUAUGGCGUAUCG
rnacentral:rRNA from 2 species